rfam:Hordeum vulgare subsp. vulgare, WGS project CAJW01000000 data, contig: morex_contig_63067
AUAAUACUCCCUCCGUCUGGAAUUAUUUGUCCACAAAUGGAUGGAAAUGGAUGUAUCUAGAACUAAAANNNNNNUAGAUACAUCCAUUCCUAUGACAAGUAUUUCUGGAUGGAGGGAGUGUCUA